CCUACGGGUGGCAGCAGUGAGGAAUAUUGGUCAAUGGACGCAAGUCUGAACCAGCCAUGCCGCGUGCAGGAAGACGGCUCUAUGAGUUGUAAACUGCUUUUGUACGAGGGUAAACGCAGAUACGCGUAUCUGUCUGAAAGUAUCGUACGAAUAAGGAUCGGCUAACUCCGUGCCAGCAGCCGCGGUAAUACGGAGGAUUCAAGCGUUAUCCGGAUUUAUUGGGUUUAAAGGGUGCGUAGGCGGUCGGAUAAGUCAGAGGUGAAAUCCCGAGGCUCAACUUCGGAAUUGCCUCUGAUACUGGUCGGCGAGAGAGCAGUUGAGGUAGGCGGAAUGUAUGGUGUAGCGGUGAAAUGCUUAGAGAUCAUACAGAACACCGAUUGCGAAGGCAGCUUACCAGGGCACUACUGACGUUGAGGCACGAAAGCGUGGGGAGCAAACAGGAUUAGAUACCCGAGUAGUC
rnacentral:rRNA from 1 species